rnacentral:rRNA from 1 species
AUACGUAGGGGGCGAGCGUUGUCCGGAAUGAUUGGGCGUAAAGGGCGCGUAGGCGGCCCGGUAAGUCUGGAGUGAAAGUCCUGUUUUUAAGAUGGGAAUUGCUUUGGAUACUGUCGGGCUUGAGUGCAGGAGAGGUAAGUGGAAUUCCCAGUGUAGCGGUGAAAUGCGUAGAGAUUGGGAGGAACACCAGUGGCGAAGGCGAUUUACUGGACUGUAACUGACGCUGAGGCGCGAAAGUGUGGGGAGCAAACAGGAUUAGAUACCCUGGUAGUCCACACUGUAAACGAUGAAUGCUAGGUGUAGGGGGUAUCGACCCCUUCUGUGCCGCAGUCAACACAAUAAGCAUUCCGCCUGGGGAGUACGGCCGCAAGGUUGAAACUCAAAGGAAUUGGCGGGG